ensembl:lncRNA
CAGAUGUUUAGCUGUGGUUUGUUCAGGUUCCAGUGGAGGUGCCAUGUUCAUACAGAUGUUUAGCUGUGCCGCUUUCAUACAGAUGUUUAGGUGUGAUGUGUUCAAGUUCACGUGGAGGUGCCAUGUUCAUACAGAUGUUUAGCUGUGGUGUGUUCAGGUUCAUGCGGAGGUGCCGUGUUCAUACAGAUGAUCAGCUGUGGUGUGUUCAGGUUCACGUGGAGGUGCCGUGUUCAUACAGAUGUUUAGCUGUGGUGUGUUCAGGUUCACGCGGAGGUGCCGUGUUCAUACAGAUGUUUAGCUGUGGUGUGUUCAGGUUCACGCGGAGGUGCCGUGUUCAUACAGAUGUUUAGCUGUGGUGUGUUCAGGUUCACGUGGAGGUGCCGUGUUCAUACAGAUUUUUAGCUGUGGUGUGUUCAUACAGAUGUUUAGCUGUGGUGUGUUCAGGUUCAUACAGAUGUUUAGCUGUGUUGUGUUCAUACAGAUGUUUAGCUGUGGUGUGAUCAUCCAGAUGUUUAGCUGUGGUGUGUUCAGGUUCAUACAGAUGUUUAGCUGCUCU